AAUCUUCCGCAAUGGGCGAAAGCCUGACGGGGCAACGCCGCGUGAGCGAGGAAGGUCUUCGGAUCGUAGAGCUCUGUUGUGAGGGCAGAAAAGCUGCAGGAGUAACUGACUGAAGGUGGACGGUAGCUCACGAGGAAGCGCCGGCCAACUACGUGCCAGCAGCCGCGGUAAUACGUAGGGGGGGCGCGUUGUCCGGAAUUAUUGGGCGUAAAGGGGUCGUAGGCGGCCUUUUAAGUCAGAUGUGAAAGGCUGCGGCUUAACCGUAGUUAGCAUUUGAAACUAAAAGGCUUGAGUGCAGGAGAGGAGAGUGGAAUUCCUAGUGUAGCGGUGAAAUGCGUAGAUAUUAGGAGGAACACCAGUGGCGAAGGCGACUCUCUGGACUGCAACUGACGCUGAGGCACGAAAGCGUGGGGAGCGAAC
rnacentral:rRNA from 1 species